GCUUACAGCCACAUCAUGUUGAAUGCAUUCAUUGGUUCUCAUCUGAUCACUGAGGUUAAGCAAUAUUUACCCUUGUUAGUACUUAAAUGGGUGACCACUUGGGAAACCUAGGUGCUGUAAGCA
rnacentral:rRNA from 1 species